rnacentral:rRNA from 1 species
CCUACGGGAGGCAGCAGUGGGGGAUAUUGCACAAUGGGGGAAACCCUGAUGCAGCGACGCCGCGUGGGUGAAGAAGUAUUUCGGUAUGUAAAGCCCUAUCAGCAGGGAAGAAAGAAGACGGUACCUGACUAAGAAGCCCCGGCUAACUACGUGCCAGCAGCCGCGGUAAUACGUAGGGGGCGAGCGUUAUCCGGAUUCACUGGGUGUAAAGGGAGCGUAGACGGCCGUGCAAGCCAGGAGUGAGAGCCCGGGGCCCAACCCCGGGACUGCUCUUGGAACUGGGCGGCUGGAGUGCGGGAGGGGCAGGCGGAAUUCCUGGUGUAGCGGUGAAAUGCGUAGAUAUCAGGAGGAACACCGGCGGCGAAGGCGGCCUGCUGGACCGCGACUGACGUUGAGGCUCGAAAGCGUGGGGAGCGAACAGGAUUAGAUACCCCAGUAGUC